GGGCUUGACAUCCCACGAACCUGCCUGAAAGGGUAGGGUGCCCGCAAGGGAACGUGGAGACAGGUGGUGCAUGGCUGUCGUCAGCUCGUGUCGUGAGAUGUUGGGUUAAGUCCCGCAACGAGCGCAACCCUCACCCCUAGUUGCCACCGGGUAAAGCCGAGCACUCGAGGGGAACUGCCAGCGUCAAGCUGGAGGAAGGCGGGGAUGACGUCAAGUCAUCAUGCCCCUUACGUCCUGGGCUACACACGUGCUACAAUGGCCGGUACAAAGGGAUGCAAGACCGCGAGGUGGAGCUAAACCCAAAAAGCCGGUCUAGGUUCAGAUUGGAGUCUGCAACUCGACUCCAUGAAGGAGGAAUCGCUAGUAAUCGCGCAUCAGCACGGCGCGGUGAAUACGUUCCCGGGCCUUGUACACACCGCCCGUCACACCACGAGAGCUUACUGUACUCGAAGUCGCUGAG
rnacentral:rRNA from 1 species